rnacentral:rRNA from 1 species
GAGUUUGAUCACGGCUCAGGAUGAACGCCGGCGGUGUGCCUAAUACAUGCAAGUCGUACGCACUGGCCCAACUGAUUGAUGGUGCUUGCACCUGAUUGACGAUGGAUUACCAGUGAGUGGCGGACGGGUGAGUAACACGUAGGUAACCUGCCCCGGAGCGGGGGAUAACAUUUGGAAACAGAUGCUAAUACCGCAUAACAACAAAAGCCACAUGGCUUUUGUUUGAAAGAUGGCUUUGGCUAUCACUCUGGGAUGGACCUGCGGUGCAUUAGCUAGUUGGUAAGGUAACGGCUUACCAAGGCGAUGAUGCAUAGCCGAGUUGAGAGACUGAUCGGCCACAAUGGAACUGAGACACGGUCCAUACUCCUACGGGAGGCAGCAGUAGGGAAUCUUCCACAAUGGGCGCAAGCCUGAUGGAGCAACACCGCGUGAGUGAAGAAGGGUUUCGGCUCGUAAAGCUCUGUUGUUGGAGAAGAACGUGCGUGAGAGUAACUGUUCACGCAGUGACGGUAUCCAACCAGAAAGUCACGGCUAACUACGUGCCAGCAGCCGCGGUAAUACGUAGGUGGCAAGCCGUUAUCCCGGAUUUAUUGGGCGUAAAGCGAGCGCA